AGUCGAGCGUGAGAACAGAGCUUGGUCUUUGAUUCAGCGGCGGACGGGUGAGUAAUGCCUAGGAAUCUGCCUGAUAGUGGGGGACAACGUUUCGAAAGGAACGCUAAUACCGCAGACGUCCUACGGGAGAAAGCAGGGGACCUUCGGGCCUUGCGCUAUCACAUGAGCCUAGGUCGGAUUAGACUAGGUGGUGAGGUAAUGGCUCACCAAGGCGACGAUCCGUAGCUGGUCUGAGAGGAUGAUCGGUCACACUGGAACUGAGACACGGUCCAGACUCCUACGGGAGGCAGCAGUGGGGAAUAUUGGACGAUGGGCGAAAGCCUGAUCCAGGCAUGCCGCGUGUGUGAAGAACGUCUUCGGAUUGUAAAGCACUUUAAGUUGGGAGGAAGGGCAUUAACCUAAUACGUUAGGGUUUUGACGUUACCGACAGAAUAAGCACCGGCUAACUUCGUGCCAGCAGCCGCGGUAAUACGAAGGGUGCAAGCGUUAAUCGGAAUUACUGGGCGUAAAGCGCGCGUAGGUGGUUUGUUAAGUUGAAUGUGAAAGCCCCGGGCUCGACCUGGGAACUGCAUCCAAAACUGGCAAGCUAGAGUAUGGCAGAGGGUGGUGGAAUUUCCUGUGUAGCGGUGAAAUGCGUAGAUAUAGGAAGGAACACCAGUGGCGAAGGCGACCACCUGGGCUAAUACUGACACUGAGGUGCGAAAGCGUGGGGAGCAAGAGGAUUAGAUACCCUGGUAGUCCA
rnacentral:rRNA from 1 species